rnacentral:tRNA from 1 species
UGCGGAUUGGCGUAGAGGAAGCGCGGCCGGCUCUGACCCGGCAGGCAGAGGUUCGAUUCCUUUAUCCGCAG